rnacentral:sRNA from 1 species
CCUGGAGGGGCCACCUAAGCUCUGCACAAGGAAUUCAUGCAACUCUGUAGAGACGGGGUUUCACCAUGUUGGCCAGGCUGGUCUCCAACUCCUGGCCUGAAGUCUUCCGCCCACCUCGGCCUCCCAAAGUGCUGGGAUUACAGGCGCGAGCUACCACCCCCGGCCCCCCAAAAGCUUUUGUAUACAUUUUCUAAAUCAGACAAAAUAUAAGGAAAAAGAAUAUAGACAAGCAUGGAAAGUGAAGACACAACGAAAACACAAGAAAUGAAGACUGACCUGAACUUAUUAUUGGAGUGUCUAAAGUAUCAAAUGGAUAAUGCUUUUUCACAAAAGGAAGCUUUGGUCACUAUUCAUUCAAUUUGUCAACAAAACAGUAAUGCAAGUGUUUAUUUUCGGGAAAUUGGUGGUUUGAUGUUUGUAAAAAAUCUUGCGAAGUCAAGUGAACAUAGCAUGGUAAAAGAAGCAGCCUUAUAUACAUUAGGAGCUAUUGCAGAGAAAAAUGUUUACUGUCAGCAGACUUUGUGUACUUCAGAGUUGUUUGAAGACUUAACUUGGUUCUUAUCUAAUGAUUCAAACAUAAAUUUGAAAAGAAUGUCUGUUUAUGUUAUUUUGGUUCUGGUUUCAAAUAAUAGGACCGGACAAACACUCGUGAGAGAAACAGGUUGUAUUACAGUUCUGUCACGGUUAUUCAGGACAGUUAUUUCAAAACAUGAGUUGGAUUUGUCAGAUAAAAAUGUUUUCCAGAGUUAUCAGUUGUGGUCUUCAGUGUGUAGUACUCUGUGUGUCUGUGUCAACAAUCCUCAAAAUGAUGAGAAUCAAAUGUUUUGCUGUUCCCUUUUUCCACAUGCUAAUGAAUGGCUAAAAAAUUGCAUGACACCUGAGAUAAUUCGCCCUAUUUGCUCAUUUAUUGGACUCACUCUUGCAAAUAACACAUAUGUUCAGAAAUACUUCGUAUCUGUGGGUGGACUGGAUGUAUUGUCUCAAGUUCUCAUGCAACUGGAAUCUGAUUCACACGAGACUCUUUCCAGUGCUAAACUUGCAGUGGUUGUGACAAAGACUGUGGAUGCAUGCAUUGCUGAUAAUCCUACUUUUGGGAUAGUACUCUCCAAGUACCACAUUGUUUCAAAACUUCUGGCAUUACUGCUUCAUGAAAGUCUGGAUUCAGGAGAAAAAUUUAGCAUCAUGCUUACUCUUGGUCAUUGCACAGAGGAUUGUGAGGAAAAUCAGUAUGACCUUUUUAAAAACAAUGGGCUUCCACUCAUGAUUCAAGCCUUAACUGAAUCGCAGAAUGAGGAACUGAACAAAGCUGCCACAUUUGUGCUUCACAACUGCAAAAAAAUUACUGAGAAAUUAUCUCUAAGUCUAGGAGAAUAUCCUUUUGAUGAAAAUGAAACACAGCAAUUAAAGGACAUAAGUGUGAAGGAGAAUAAUCUUGAAGAGCACUGGAGGAAAGCAAAGGAAAUUCUACACAGAAUAGAACAGCUUGAAAGAGAAGGAAAUGAGGAAGAAAUACAAAGAGAAAACUAUCAGGAUAAUAUUUCAUCUAUGAACAUAAGUAUUCAGAAUACAUGGAAACAUCUCCAUGCAGAUCAGAUUGGUCGAGGUAGCAAAGCAGAAGAUGAGGAUAAAAGCCAUUCUAGACAGUUACAGAGUUAUAAGUCCCAUGGAGUCAUGUCUAAAGCAUGUACAAAUGAUGACCAAAUGAAGACACCGUUAAAGAGCACAAAUCCAGUCCAUGCUUGUUACAGGGAGAGUGAGCAAAAUAAGACUUUAUAUAAAGCCAAGUCAAGCUGCAAUCAAAACUUACAUGAAGAAACUACUUUUGAAAAGAAUUUUGUUUCUCAAUCAAGAUCCAUUUACAUUAUGUUCAGAUAUAAUAAAUAAAGAAGUAGUCAGUUUUCUAGCAACUCCCAGUUGUUCCAAAAUGUUGACG